AUUGAACGCUGGCGGCAGGCCUAACACAUGCAAGUCGAGCGAGCGGCGCACGGGUGAGUGUUGUAUGGGGGCUCCGCGAUAGAGGGGGGUAACUCCUGGAAACGGUGGCUAAUACCGCAUACGGCAGGAUAGCCCACAUGGGAUUAGCUAGUAGGUAAGGUAAUGGCUUACCUAGGCGACGAUCCCUAGCUGGUCUGAGAGGAUGAUCAGCCACACUGGGACUGAGACACGGCCCAGACUCCUACGGAGGCAGCAGUGGGGAAGAUUGCACAAUGGGCGCAAGCCUGAUGCAGCCAUGCCGCGUGUAUGAAGAAGGCCCUAGGGUUGUAAAGUACUUUCAGUCGGGAGGCGUUACCGACAGAAGAAGCACCGGCUAACUCCGUGCCAGCAGCCGCGGUAAUAC
rnacentral:rRNA from 1 species